UACGUAGGGUGCGAGCGUUAAUCGGAAUUACUGGGCGUAAAGCGUGCGCAGGCGGUUCGUUAAGUUCGUUGUGAAAGCCCCGGGCUCAACCUGGGAACUGCAAUGGAAACUGGCGGGCUUGAGUGUGGCAGAGGGGGGUGGAAUUCCGCGUGUAGCAGUGAAAUGCGUAGAGAUGCGGAGGAACACCGAUGGCGAAGGCAGCCCCCUGGGCUAGCACUGACGCUCAGGAACGAAAGCGUGGGGAGCAAACAGG
rnacentral:rRNA from 1 species